GACGAACGCUGGCGGCAUGCCUAAUACAUGCAAGUUGAACGAUGAUAUUCUCUGCUUGCAGAGAAUUGAAGAGUAGCGAGCGGGUGAGUAACACGUGGGAACCCUGCUCAUGAGAGGGGGAUAACAUUCGGAAACGGAUGCUAAUACCGCAUAAUGCUUUGGACCGCCUGGUCCAUAGACGAAAGACGGCGUUUGCUGUCACUCAUGGGUGUCCCCGGGCCGUAGUAGCUAGUUGGUCGGGUAAUGGCUUAGCAAGGCUGGGAUUCGUAGCCGACGUGCGGGAGUGAUCGGCCACACUGGAGCGGAACCACGGCCCAGAGUCCUACGGGAGGGAGCAGUAGGCAAUGGUCGACAAUGGGCGAAAGCCUUGCGGAGUAAGGCCGCGUGAAUGAAGACGGCCUUCGGAUCGUAAAGUCGUGUUAUUAGUGAAGAACAAGUUAAGGAGGAAAUGUCUUGACUUUGACGGUACCUAAUCAGAAAGCCACGGCUAACUACGUG
rnacentral:rRNA from 1 species